rnacentral:rRNA from 1 species
UACAGAGGUCUCAAGCGUUGUUCGGAUUCAUUGGGCGUAAAGGGUGCGUAGGCGGCGCGGUAAGUCGGGUGUGAAAUCUCGGGGCUUAACUCCGAAACUGCAUUCGAUACUGCCGUGCUUGAGGACUGGAGAGGAGACUGGAAUUUACGGUGUAGCGGUGAAAAUGCGUAGAUAUCGUAAGGAAGACCAGUGGCGAAGGCGGGUCUCUGGACAGUUCCUGA